rnacentral:misc_RNA from 1 species
GAAAUGCGAUAAGUAAUGUGAAUUGCAGAAUUCAGUGAAUCAUCGAAUCUUUGAACGCACAUUGCGCCCGGCAGAUUACUGCCGGGCAUGCCUGUCCGAGCGUCAUUUCUCCCCUCGACCCCGGCUCUGCCGCGGCGUCGGUGUUGGGGCGCUACGGGGAGCCUCGCGCUCGACCCCGUAGGCCCCGAAAUGAAGUGGCGGUCCCGCCGCGGCGCCCCCUGCGUAGUAGCUCUUACAACUCGCAUCGGGUCCCGGCGGAGGCCAGCCGUCAAACCCCCCCAAUUAUGAUGUUUGACCUCGGAUCAGGUAGGGUUACCCGCUGAACUUAA